UACGUAGGGUGCGAGCGUUAAUCGGAAUUACUGGGCGUAAAGCGUGCGCAGGCGGUUCGCUAAGACCGAUGUGAAAUCCCCGGGCUUAACCUGGGAACUGCAUUGGUGACUGGCGGGCUAGAGUAUGGCAUAGGGGGGUAGAAUUCCACGUGUAGCAGUGAAAUGCGUAGAGAUGUGGAGGAAUACCGAUGGCGAAGGCAGCCCCCUGGGCCAAUACUGACGCUCAUGCACGAAAGCGUGGGGAGCAAACAGG
rnacentral:rRNA from 1 species